rnacentral:lncRNA from 1 species
CUCUGGCCCUUGGCCAAACUCUGCUUGCUCAACCAAAUUAUGGAACCUCAAAACGAUCUUGAAACAUGUGAACUUGGCUUGGAGAACUCUACAAAAUUGUUUUCCUGUUAAAGAAUCUUAUCAGAAUUGAAGGGUUCUGGUGGAUGCUUCAUGUCCACGUUGCAAUGAAAAAAGGAAGACAUCAAUCAUGUCUUUUGUUGGUGUCCAUGGGAAAAACAAGUUUGGUUUUACUCCACUUUGAAGCCCAAGUUUGAUCAAUUCUCUCCAGAUUUCCCUACUUGGCUUGAAAUACUAUCUCCACAUCCUCUUUAGAUGUUAGCGAGUUUAUUUUAUAUGUUAUAGUAUAUCGUACUCUCGCAAUAAAUUUUAUUUUGAAGGUAAAACCUUAGAAGUUGGAGCAGUUCUUAAAGCUUGAAAUCUAAUAGAAGACUAUAAGGUAAUGCUGAAUACAUUACACAGUGACGCCGUCAAUCCAUAAUAUGUCUCUCCGACCAGAUGGAGUCCAUAUCCGAAUAACUUUUAUAAAAUCAACGUCAAUUUUGU